UUAUACGGCGAAACUGCGAAUGGCUCAUUAUAUAAGUUAUCGUUUAUUUGAUAGCACCUUACUACUUGGAUAACCGUGGUAAUUCUAGAGCUAAUACAUGCUAAAAAUCCCGACUUCGGAAGGGAUGUAUUUAUUAGAUUAAAAACCAAUGCCCUCUGGGCUCUCUGGUGAUUCAUGAUAACUUCUCGAAUCGCAUGGCCUUGCGCCGGCGAUGGUUCAUUCAAAUUUCUUCCCUAUCAACUUUCGAUGUUUGGGUAGUGGCCAAACAUGGUUGCAACGGGUAACGGAGGGUUAGGGCUCGACCCCGGAGAAGGAGCCUGAGAAACGGCUACUACAUCCAAGGAAGGCAGCAGGCGCGCAAAUUACCCAAUCCCGACACGGGGAGGUAGUGACAAUAAAUACUGAUACAGGGCUCUUUUGGGUCUUGUAAUUGGAAUGAGUACAAUUUAAAUCCCUUAACGAGGAACAAUUGGAGGGCAAGUCUGGUGCCAGCAGCCGCGGUAAUUCCAGCUCCAAUAGCGUAUAUUAAAGUUGUUGUGGUUAAAAAGCUCGUAGUUGAACCUUGGGCCUGGCUGGCCGGUCCGCCUCACCGCGUGCACUGGUCCGGCCGGGCCUUUCCCUCUGUGGAACCCCAUGCCCUUCACUGGGUGUGGCGGGGAAACAGGACUUUUACUUUGAAAAAAUUAGAGUGCUCCAGGCAGGCCUAUGCUCGAAUACAUUAGCAUGGAAUAAUGAAAUAGGACGUGCGGUUCUAUUUUGUUGGUUUCUAGGACCGCCGUAAUGAUUAAUAGGGACAGUCGGGGGCAUCAGUAUUCAAUUGUCAGAGGUGAAAUUCUUGGAUUUAUUGAAGACUAACUACUGCGAAAGCAUUUGCCAAGGAUGUUUUCAUUAAUCAGGAACGAAAGUUAGGGGAUCGAAGACGAUCAGAUACCGUCGUAGUCUUAACCAUAAACUAUGCCGACUAGGGAUCGGACGAUGUUAUUUUUUGACUCGUUCGGCACCUUACGAGAAAUCAAAG
rnacentral:rRNA from 1 species